rnacentral:rRNA from 1 species
GACGAACGCUGGCGGCGUGCUUAACACAUGCAAGUCGAACGGAAAGGCCCUGCUUUUGUGGGGUGCUCGAGUGGCGAACGGGUGAGUAACACGUGAGUAACCUGCCCUUGACUUUGGGAUAACUUCAGGAAACUGGGGCUCAUACCGGAUAGGAGCUCCUGCUGCAUGGUGGGGGUUGGAAAGUUUCGGCGGUUGGGGAUGGACUCGCGGCUUAUCAGCUUGUUGGUGGGGUAGUGGCUUACCAAGGCAUGGACGGGUAGCCGGCCUGAGAGGGUGACCGGCCACAUUGGGACUGGGAUACGGCCCAGACUCCUACGGGAGGCAGCAGUGGGGAAUAGUGCACAAUGGGCGGAAGCCUGAUGCAGCAACGCCGCGUGCGGGAUGACGGCCUUCGGGUUGUAAACCGCUUUCGCCUGUGACGAAGCGUGAGUGACGGUAAUGGGUAAAGAAGCACCGGCUAACUACGUG